rnacentral:rRNA from 1 species
GAUGAACGCUGGCGGCGUGCCUCAUACAUGCAAGUCGAGCGAUGCGAGGACGGGUGAGUAAGGCUUGGAUACCCUCCUAUAACUAUGCGACAACUUCGGGCAACCGGAGCUAAAGGGGAUAUUUAUAUAUGGAUCCUCGCUGCAUGAGCUAGUUGGUAAGUUAUCGGCUUACCAAGGCAACGAUGCAUAGCCGACCUGAGAGGGGGACCAGCCACACUGGAACUGAGACACGGUCCAGACGCCUACGGGAGGAAGCAGUAGGGAAGAUUCCGCAAUGGGCGAAAGCCUGAUGGAGCAACGCCGCGUGAGUGAUGAAGGUCUUCGGAUCGUAAAACUCUGUUAUUGGGGAAGCGGUACUUAAUCAGAAAGCCACGGCUAACUACGUGCCAGCAGCCGCGGUAAUAC